UACGUAGGAGGCAAGCGUUGUCCGGAAUUACUGGGCGUAAAGUGUGCGCAGGUGGCCGCGCAAGUCGAGUGUGAAAUCCCCGAGCUUAACUUGGGAAUUGCGCUCGAAACUACGUGGCUCGAGUGUGGCAGAGGAAGGUGGAAUUCCACGUGUAGCGGUGAAAUGCGUAGAGAUGUGGAGGAACACCGAUGGCGAAGGCAGCCUUCUGGGCCAACACUGACGCUCAUGCACGAAAGCGUGGGGAGCAGACAGG
rnacentral:rRNA from 1 species